GCUCGGGUAGCUCAGUGGUAGAGCACUUCAUUGGUAAUGAAGGGGCCGGCAGUUCAAUUCUGCUCCUGAGCACCA
rnacentral:tRNA from 1 species